rnacentral:rRNA from 1 species
UUCGCAAUGCCCGAAAGGGUGACGAAGCGACGCCGCGUGCGGGAAGAAGGCCUUCGGGUUGUAAACCGCUGUCGGGAGUUAGGAAAUGCAAGGAUGUUAAUAGCAUUCUUGCUUGACUAAGGCUCCGGAGGAAGCCACGGCUAACCCUGUGCCAGCAGCCGCGGUAAUACAGAGGCGGCAAGCGUUGUUCGGAAUUAUUGGGCGUAAAGAGCACGUAGGCGGCUGUGUAAGUCGGUUGUGAAGGCCUUCCGCUUAACGGAAGAACGGCAUCCGAUACUGCAUAGCUUGAGUGCGGGAGGGGAGAGUGGAACUUCUGGUGGAGCGGUGAAAUGCGUAGAUAUCAGAAGGAACAUCGGCGGCGAAGGCGACUCUCUGGCCCGUAACUGACGCUGAGGUGCGAAAGCUAGGGGAGCAAACGGGAUUAGAUACCCCGGUAGUCCUAGCCGUAAACGAUGGGCACUAAGUAGAGGGGUUUUA